ensembl:lncRNA
UCCUGUUUAUGGAAUUACUGAUUUUUAUUCUCUCUUUAUUUUCACUUGUUUUGCAGUUUUAUAUAGUAUUUGCAACAUGGAAAAAACUCCAACAUUUUGGAGAUUCCAACUUAAUGUAACUCACAAAUGCUGAUUAUGAACAAGAAAGGAAAAUUUGGAACCUGGCCAAAAGCAAUGGUUUCAAUACCUGAGGAAAAUCACAGAUACCAUGAUUUGCCCAUUUUAAGUGAAGUGAAAAGCAGAGUCCCUCCUAUCAAGUGUGCCUAACCUAGUAUUGUUCACAUCUGGGAGUGAUAGAUGUGCUGUUUAUAACAAGAUCAAAACUAUCAAGAAGUAAAGCAGGAUGUUGUUAAAAUAAACCACCACAACACACUGAAAACCUCUGAAACUGUAAAAUGCUGGAAAAGGAGCUGGCUGCUGCUGAAUGUCUAGAGGCUAGCGAGGUAGAAAUAGGAAUAUAUUUAGUUCUCAGUGGAAGCGGAGUCCCUGGGCUGAACGGUGUUUGUACAUCUUGUGCUUCUCACAUUUCAUCAUUUCUGGCUGACAUCAGUCCAGCAGACACUGGACAGGUCAGGAGCUGUCACACACUCAGGACACCCAGACCAGCAGGAAAAACUCGUAUCCAACACAAGUCCCCUGUGGCAGGACGUGGUGAGUCAUGUUUCCUUUAGAAUGGGACUGUUCAGUCUGUUAUGAAAGCCUCUAAAACCUUUUCUUGAACCUCUUUAGGGCUUGUCUUUGCUGUCAGGAUUUUGGCACAAAGCAGAGAA